rnacentral:rRNA from 1 species
GAUGAACGCUGGCGGCGUGCCUAAUACAUGCAAGUCGAGCGAACAGACGAGGAGCUUGCUCCUCGGACGGUAGCGGCGGACGGGUGAGUAACACGUGGAUAACCUACCUAUAAGACUGGGAUAACUUCGGGAAACCGGAGCUAAUACCGGAGAAUAUAUUGAACCGCAUGGUGCAAUAGUGAAAGACGGUGUUGCUGGCACUUAGAGAUUGAGCCGCGCCGCAGUAGCUAGUUGGUAAGGUAACGGCUUACCAAGGCAACGAUGCGUAGCCGACCUGAGAGGGUGAUCGGCCACACGGGAACUGAGCCACGGUCCAGACUCCUACGGGAGGCAGCAGUAGGGAAUCUUCCGCAAUGGGCGAAAGUCUGACGGAGCAACGCCGCGUGAGUGAUGAAGGUCUUCGGAUCGUAAAACUCUGUUAUUAGGGAAGAACAAAUGUGUAAGUAACUAUGCCCGUCUUGACGGUACCUAAUCAGAAAGCCCCGGCUAACUACGUG